rnacentral:lncRNA from 1 species
UCUCUCACUAUUAGAGCGUAACAAUUCACUUCGUUCACCCACCCUCGCCUACGCUAUGAAAUGGAUAACCCCUGUUCCCCAUAGCUGCAGGAUUAUCGGGGCAUCGUUCAUUAUCUCACUCGACGGGCCCUUCUCCAGAAAAAGACAAUAGGCCGUGGCGAGACUGUCGACAUCGGUCAAAUCCGGACUGAUCGUCCUUGAAAUGACAGUCCUCGUAAGCUCAAGUCUCACUCGACGGACCCUUCUCCAGAAAAAGACAAUAGGCCGUGGCGAGACUGUCGACAUCGUUCAAAUCCGGACUGAUCGUCCUUGAAAUGACAGUCCACGUAAGCUCAACCCAGGAGUUCCCCCCUUGAAGUGAUUCAAUCCCUUGUUGAUCAAAAAGGCGAAAUUGCAGGAUACUGGACAUUUCAUUAAUAUAUACAUCGGCCGCCCACGAAUCGACCAGGAGUUCCCCCCUUGAAGUGAUUCAAUCCCUUGUUGAUCAAAAAGGCGAAAUUGCAGGAUACUGGACAUUUC